rnacentral:rRNA from 1 species
GAGUUUGAUCAUGGCUCAGAUUGAACGCUGGCGGCAUGCUUUACACAUGCAAGUCGAACGGCAGCACGGGUGCUUGCACUUGGUGGCGAGUGGCGAACGGGUGAGUAAUACAUCGGAACGUGUCCAGGAGAGGGGGAUAACGCAUCGAAAGAUGUGCUAAUACCGCAUAUACUCUGAGGAGGAAAGCAGGGGAUCGAAAGACCUUGCGCUUUUGGAGCGGCCGAUGUCUGAUUAGCUAGUUGGUGGGGUAAAGGCCUACCAAGGCGACGAUCAGUAGUUGGUCUGAGAGGACGACCAGCCACACUGGGACUGAGACACGGCCCAGACUCCUACGGGAGGCAGCAGUGGGGAAUUUUGGACAAUGGGCGAAAGCCUGAUCCAGCAAUGCCGCGUGAGUGAAGAAGGCCUUCGGGUUGUAAAGCUCUUUCAGUCGAGAAGAAAAGACUACGGUAAAUAAUCGUGGUUUAUGACGGUAUCGACAGAAGAAGCACCGGCUAACUACGUGCCAGCAGCCGCGGUAAUACGUAGGGUGCGAGCGUUAAUCGGAAUUACUGGGCGUAAAGGGUGCGCAGGCGGCUUUGUAAGUCAGAUGUGAAAUCCCCGGGCUUAACCUGGGAAUUGCGUUUGAAACUACAAGGCUAGAGUGUGGCAGAGGGAGGUGGAAUUCCAUGUGUAGCAGUGAAAUGCGUAGAGAUAUGGAAGAACAUCGAUGGCGAAGGCAGCCUCCUGGGUUAACACUGACGCUCAUGCACGAAAGCGUGGGGAGCAAACAGGAUUAGAUACCCUGGUAGUCCACGCCCUAAACGAUGUCAACUAGUUGUUGGGCCUUAUUAGGCUUGGUAACGAAGCUAACGCGUGAAGUUGACCGCCUGGGGAGUACGGUCGCAAGAUUAAAACUCAAAGGAAUUGACGGGGACCCGCACAAGCGGUGGAUUAUGUGGAUUAAUUCGAUGCAACGCGAAAAACCUUACCUACCCU